GUCUGCACUUGUCGGUGAAGGGUGAGAACCUUCGAUUAAGGUUCGACUCGAGCGAAAGCGAGAGAACGUUGCCAACGGCAACGGCCCGUAGGGUGAGGAGUGAAGCGACGAAUAAUCCUUCCCCCACCACCA
rnacentral:sRNA from 5 species